AAUUUAUUUAUUAUCAUUUUUUCCAGCUUUAUAGUGACAUAAUUGACACAUAACAUUGUGUUUGGAUAAAGUGUGAUUAGUGUGGUUCCUCAUCAUCUUACUUCCUUAAGUCACUGAAUGUUGCUUAUUUUCAGAAGAAUAAUGAUUCGGCCAGUGUAGACAAUGCUUCUGGAAAAGAUCCUGAUUCUGGAAAAGAUUGAAGACAAAAGGAGAAGGGGGCAGCAGAGGAUGAGAUGAUUAGAUAGCAUCACCAACUCAAUGGACAUGAACUUGAGCAAACUCCAGGAGAUAGUGAAGGACAAGGAAGCCUGGCAUGCUGCGGUCCAUGGGGUCGCAAAGAGCUGGACGUGACUUACUGACUGAACAGCAACAACAACAGACGGUGUUUCAGGAAAAAGCAACAGUAGCCAAGAUAAAAGUCAUGAGGCCCAGCAAAGGCCAUGCAACUAAGAAGCUUCCGUGAAAUUAGAUGGACUGAACCCAGGACUAGAAGGUUACCAAACUCUAACUAAAAGAGGUAGAAACAGAGACGUGGUCUCCAACCCAGGAACACCUGUGGAAAUACUUGGCCUUCUAGAACCUUCAGAUCCCCUGUAAUGAAUGGAGUAAUCAGCAAGCACACAUUAGGGGUUCACACCAGUCUUUCUGAACUGCCUUUGUUUGUGUUGGAUUGGAUCCACCCCAGAGACAGGCAACAGCUUGGGAGAUGGAAUACUGCUGGGUAAAGUGAUGCCCUGCAGUCAGCUCCGGAUGCGAUUUUAGUUCUGCUCUAGGCUCUGGAAACCACCCUGUGGCUUUAAGCAACCCCUAAAAUAGUCUCACAAAGAGUAGGAUGAUUAUCACCAACAGAACUUGGCUGUGGAACAACUGGUUCACUCAGAUUUUCCUUAAAGUGUGAAACAGAGGAUUAUAGCCCUCAGAAAUAUUGUUUUGAGAAGGGGGAAGUGUGCAUGCUUAUUGAAUUAUUGGGUGAUGUUCCAGUACUCAUUGGAAAAAGGAAGUGGUGGGUGGGCUUUGAAAAGACUGUGAAUGAGCAUGGCCUCUGCUUAUUCAUAUAUUUUAAAUCUGGGUCCAAAG
ensembl:lncRNA